UGGCAACACGGUCUUUCGCAUUCAGAUUGAAACGUCAACUUCAACUGCGAAUUGUGAGGAGCAGCAGAAACGUCACAAUCGAGCGGAAAAGAAAAGUGCAAAAUCACUGUUAGAUGUGCCUUCAGCUUGCUUUCUAAAUAAUCCUAAGUUUCCACAAAAAUAUUCCUAAUUUCUUAUUAUAUUGAAUUCGCUCUAUUUUAACAUAAAAUUGAAACUACGUUAGAAUACACUACAGCCUCAAAUACAGCUAUAAGCACUCGGAUGAAUUAUAUUCGAAGGACUGUUAAAUCUUAAAGCUAACUCCAACACAACAAACGAGUUUGUCUCAAAGAGGUCCG